rnacentral:rRNA from 1 species
AGUGAACGCUGGCGGUAGGCCUAACACAUGCAAGUCGAACGGCAGCACAGUAAGAGCUUGCUCUUACGGGUGGCGAGUGGCGGACGGGUGAGGAAUACAUCGGAAUCUACUUUUUCGUGGGGGAUAACGUAGGGAAACUUACGCUAAUACCGCAUACGACCCACGGGUGAAAGCAGGGGAUCUUCGGACCUUGCGCGAUUGAAUGAGCCGAUGUCGGAUUAGCUAGUUGGCGGGGUAAAGGCCCACCAAGGCGACGAUCCGUAGCUGGUCUGAGAGGAUGAUCAGCCACACUGGAACUGAGAAACGGUCCAGACUCCUACGGGAGGCAGCAGUGGGGAAUAUUGGACAAUGGGCGCAAGCCUGAUCCAGCCAUACCGCGUGGGUGAAGAAGGCCUUCGGGUUGUAAAGCCCUUUUGUUGGGAAAGAAAAGCAGCAGGUUAAUACCCCGCUGUUCUGACGGUACCCAAAGAAUAAGCACCGGCUAACUUCGUG